UGCCCACAAAAGAUGCAAAGGGUUCCUUUACCCAACUUUCCUACCUUGUGAAAGACAUUCAUUCAGGACUGCUGGUCGGUAGUUGAAUAAUGGCCAAGUAAAAGCACAUGUCACCUCUUUUCACCACACAGUAUUUUUUUUAAUCUGCCAAUAUUAGUAGGGUUUUUUUAUUGUUUUUAUAAAUACUUUCAAAUACUAAUGAAAGAGAAUGCUCUCUCUGGUGGAUCACUGCCUCAUGACUUAUAUUUUGCCCAGUAGAUGGGUCCCCAUUCUAAAGCAGAUUUAACAUCACUGAUAAAUAAGAUGCUCACUUUUUAGAAAGAAAAUUUACUUCACUGUCAGGCUCAUAUCUCAGAAACUUCAUUUCAGAGUUCCUUUAAGUAUGAAGGUUGCCAUUGUGUAUGUUUUUGUUUACAAAUACCUAUUCUAGAAGCUGGGAAGUCCAGUGAAGAACCACUGCUAUUAGUAUGAAAUAUAGAGCUUUGAAAUUAUCAUGUAAAUCAUCAGAUAGAUUUAAGCUAAUUUAUAGAAAUUUAAUUUGGGACCCCAUCAAUUGUGCUAAGCAAAAGCAAGCUGACCAAAUGAAUCUCAUAUAAUUAAAUGUUGUAAGUAACAGUAUUAGUAGUCACUAAUUUGUGCCCCUGACUUUUGUGAAAGAGAUAACUUACAUUUCAUCAGAGCAUCUCACAUCAUGCAAUUUUUACAUUAACCAGAUAUAUGUUCUUCUGUAUUCAUGGAAUUAAAUUUAGAGUUUUUAAGCAUCAAUCUUUAAACCAAUUGCUGCUACUUAUAUGACAGCCAAAAAGU
rnacentral:lncRNA from 1 species